rnacentral:misc_RNA from 1 species
UCCUCCUCUCUCUCCUCGUAUCUCGCUGUGAUGCUUUGCUGUUGUUUUGCGCGCUGGCAGUUGUUUCCGUGCCAGCUUCGCACAUCCUGCAAAAGGGGGAGGGCCCCUCCGGGCGAGCUGGCUUGGCGGCAGGCACUACUGCUAAAGCGGCCGACCGUUUUCACCGGGGUCUUGCCACGCGGGCGUGGCAGCCAGUGAGAGUGCAACCACAGCUGCUGCGUCCACGCCGACACUUGUCGCACGAGCGUCAAAGGAGCGUCCCCGCGCGCACCGGCGUUUUACGUUUUUCCUGCCACAAGCCGCCCCUUGAUUUGCGCCGCAGGCACGUGUGAUGGCAAGCUCCGGUGGUGCCAAAGUGUGCUGGAUGCUGAUCUGGCUGCUGCUGCUCAUCUUCGCCGCCUUUUGGGUCGCCUCGUUUGCUGCCUUUUGGUACAUCCUAGUGUAUGUGCUGGUGCCCUGCAUACCUGCUGCCAAAGACGUGGCCGCGCUGCUUCACCGUGGCGUGCUGUUGCCGUACUUCUGCGCUGACAACAUGGUCAACGGCAGGGACAUCAACAGCGGCAUCCAGUUCAUAUGCUCUGGAGGCACUGUGCCCACCUGAGCUGUUCGCUUGACGCUCCCACCAUUGGCUACAGAACGCCAGCGGCAGGUCGUGUGUGUGGGUGUCUUCAUCAACCUCCAUAUUCUGACGGAGAGCCUCACUCCACGGCGCUGGCCACGCAUCUUUAAAAAGGAAAACGGAAAGAGCAUGCUCACUUCGUGUGGUUAUUUAUACCGCAGUCUUCCAAUGUGGCGCUUUCUCACUGGCGAGAUUCAAGGGCACUCAACCGUGACAGUUGCCUGGAGCGCAAACAAGGGCUUCGCGAAAUUGUGAAAGCGAAAACGUCACUGCUUCAAAAUAUCUGCUCACUCAGCUAAUUAGAGACUAUAUAGUGACGGCUGGUUAGGGUUGACUGUUUCGGGAUUGAAUUGUCCGGAGCCCAAAAUGGAGGGCAGCUCGUGUCCUAGUCAAAUAAAGUGCAACAAAAUGUUUAAUGCAUCAUGUAUUUAUUGGGUUUCUCUAAGGGUUUUUUUUAUGUUACUUCACCGAAGAAGAUGACGAGGAAUAUGAAGAAAGUAGAAUUAACAAGUGCAAUCGCUCAAAGUUUGGAGAGUGCCAUUUUCAUUUUUACCGAUGUAUGUUAUUUUUGCCGGUGAGGGACAGUUCAGUCACAGUUUGGUUCGGUUUCAAGCGAAUACACAAGAACCAAAACUAGGGCUUACUAAAAAAUUGCUUCAAUGUUGUGUAAUGGCCUGAGUGAUUAUCGGUAUUCAUAAGGGCUGCUUAGACAUGCAUGUUUAUAAGGCCAGCUUAAUUUGAGAUAUAACUGAUUCUUUGCUUUUAAAAUAAGUUUCUUUCCGUGUAUAAACAAAAUCUACGUAGAUCUCAUAAUUAACUUUUUAUACUCUCUUUUUCUUUUUAUGAACGACGAGAGUCACAGUAUACUUGCAUCCUUCUAUUGCAUUUGAUUGCGUAAUAAGAGUGGUCGUGGAUACGUAGUUUAUUUGUGUCGGGAACGUGCAUAUAUGGCAGGUCUUUUCUUGCUGUGAGUUACUGUAAGACUUAUGAAUAGUGGCAAUACUGGUGUAUAGAUUGUGGUGUGUAGGCUUUGUUGAGUUUGUGCUGAGUUCAUUGUGGUUUGGGACUACCAAUGGUGACUAUGCUGUGUAUGUGUCCAUACGUCAACCAUGUGUGUCUAUCGCUGUUACAUGAUUAAAAAUCCAAAGACUAUUAGUG